CUUGGCCGCAGCGGGACCUGACGUGCAGGUAGCUGUUAGGAAGCACGAAGGGGAGGCGCCCCGUGAACAGAAAGGCGACCUGAAAGAUACCCCUGUGACCUGAACCCUUCCACUAGCGCCUCAGAGCAGAGGCGGAAGAGUCCCAGAGAGGAGAAGACCCCAGCUUUGCAUGGCCGAGCAGUUAUUGAUGCUUCUGCCCAGAGUGAACAAGAUUUGGGGGAUACCGCCUCCUCCAGAAGUUGUCAGAGACUGCGUGUUAUUGGAAAGUUGGACCUGCUUUCAGGAGACCUGAGCCAGGCUGAGACGGCUAUCUUUCCAGAGUCCUCUGUGCAUUUCCAAGAGCAGCGGAAGAUGAAUACAUCUCUGGUGAGUUUGUUUCUUUAUCCCUCAGCUUGUUUUACAGGGUGCUUCAUGAGCUUGAUGAGGAAGGGCUCAUACUUUAUUAUUUUUUUAUUAUUUCUUAAUUAUUUUUUAUUUUUUAUUAUGUUAUGUUAGUUACCAUACAGUGCAUCAUUAGUUUUUGAUGUAGUGUUCCAUGAUUCGUUGUUUGCUUAUAACACUUAGUGCUCCAUGCAAUAUGUGCCCUCCUUAAUACCCAUCACCGGGCUGACCCAUCCCCCCACCCCCCUCCCCUCUAAAACUCUCAGUUUGUUUCCCCAGAGUCCAUAGUCUCUCCCCCUCUGUU
rnacentral:lncRNA from 1 species